GUGAAUUUACCUUAACUCACACUGUCUAUAGAGAAUGAGAGAAUGUCUUUAGGUUUGUUAGAGAAGAUUGUGAUAAUUGUCUUAGCAUGAGGCUGUGAAUUCAACCACAACUCACACUGUAGAGAAUGAGAGGAUGUUUAGGUAUGUUAGGGAGGACUGUGAGGAGUGAUAAUUGUGUCUUAGUCAGCACGGAACAUUGAAUUCAUCUUAACUCACACUGUUUAUAGAGAAAGAGAGGAUGUUUAGGUAUGUUAGGGAGGACUGGGAGGAGUGAUAAUUGUGUCUUAGUCAGCAUGGAACAUUGAAUUCACCAUAACUCACACUGUUUAUAGAGAAUGCGAGAAUGUUUAGGUAUGUUAGGGAGAACUGGGAGGAGUGAUAUGUGUGUCUUAGUCAGCAUGGAACAUUGAAUUCACCAUAACUCACACUGUUUAUAGGAAAUGAGAGGAUGUUUAGGUAUGUUAGGGAGGACUGGGAGGAGUGAUAUGUGUGUCUUAGUCAGCACGGAACAUUGAAUUCACCAUAACUCACACUGUUUAUAGAGAAUGCGAGAAUGUUUAGGUAUGUUAGGGAGGACUGGGAGGAGUGAUAAUUGUG